rnacentral:rRNA from 1 species
GACGAACGCUGGCGGCGUGCCUAAUACAUGCAAGUAGAACGCUGAAGGAGGAGCUUGCUUCUCUGGAUGAGUUGCGAACGGGUGAGUAACGCGUAGGUAACCUGCCUGGUAGCGGGGGAUAACUAUUGGAAACGAUAGCUAAUACCGCAUAAGAGUAGAUGUUGCAUGACAUUUACUUAAAAGGUGCAAUUGCAUCACUACCAGAUGGACCUGCGUUGUAUUAGCUAGUUGGUGAGGUAACGGCUCACCAAGGCAGCGAUACAUAGCCGACCUGAGAGGGUGAUCGGCCACACUGGGACUGAGACACGGCCCAGACUCCUACGGGAGGCAGCAGUAGGGAAUCUUCGGCAAUGGACGGAAGUCUGACCGAGCAACGCCGCGUGAGUGAAGAAGGUUUUCGGAUCGUAAAGCUCUGUUGUAAGAGAAGAACGAGUGUGAGAGUGGAAAGUUCACACUGUGACGGUAUCUUACCAGAAAGGGACGGCUAACUACGUG